rnacentral:rRNA from 1 species
GACGACGCUGGCGGCGUGCCUAACACAUGCAAGUCGAGCGGAGAUGUACUGAAGAUUUAUCGGAUGUACAUCUUAGCGGCGGACGGGUGAGUAACGCGUGGGCAACCUGCCUUUCACUGGGGGAUAACACAGGGAAACCUGUGCUAAUACCGCAUGACAUCACGUAGGGCAUCCUAUGUGAUCAAAGGAGAGAUCCGGUGGAAGAUGGGCCCGCGUCCAAUUAGCUGGUUGGUGAGGUAAAGGCUCACCAAGGCGACGAUUGGUAGCCGAACUGAGAGGUUGAUCGGCCACAUUGGGACUGAGACACGGCCCAGACUCCUACGGGAGGCAGCAGUGGGGAAUAUUGCGCAAUGGGGGGAACCCUGACGCAGCAACGCCGCGUGAAGGAAGAAGGUCUUCGGAUUGUAAACUUCUUUGAUGAGGGACGAAUAAAGUGACGGUACCUCAAAAACAAGCCACGGCUAACUACGUG